AAAAGAAACUAACAAGGAUUCCCCUAGUACGGCGAGUGAAGAGGGAAGAGCCCAAGAUUGAAAGCUGGCGUCUUCGGCGUCCGCAUUGUAAUCUCAAGAAGUGUUUUCCGUUUCGGACCAUGCCUAAGUCUCUUGGAAAAGAGCAUCAUAGAGGGUGAUAAUCCCGUACAUGGCAUGGAGCGCCCGAGACUUUGUGAUACGCUUUCUAAGAGUCGAGUUGUUUGGGAAUGCAGCUCAAAAUGGGUGGUAAAUGCCAUCUAAGGCUAAAUAUUGGGGAGAGACCGAUAGCGAACAAGUACAGUGAUGGAAAGAUGAAAAGAACUUUGAAAAGAGAGUUAAACAGUACGUGAAAUUGCCAAAAGGGAAGGGUAGGAGGUCAGAGAUGCGUUCUGGGAUUCAGCCUUGCUUUUGCUUGGUGUUUUUCCCAGAUGGCAGGCCAACGUCGGUUUUGGGCGCUGGAGAAGGGUGGAAGGAAUGUGGCACCUCUCGGGGUGUGUUAUAGCCUUCUACUGGAUACAGUGACCGAGACCGAGGACAGCAGCGUACUCGCAAGAGCGGGCCUUCGGGCACCUUUACGCUUAGGGCGUUGGCAUAAUGGCCCUCUACCACCCGUCUUG
rnacentral:rRNA from 1 species